rnacentral:rRNA from 1 species
AGGACGAACGCUGGCGGCGUGCUUAACACAUGCAAGUCGAGCGGUAAGGCCCUUCGGGGUACACGAGCGGCGAACGGGUGAGUAACACGUGAGUAAUCUGCCCUCCACUUGGGGAUAAGCAUUGGAAACGGUGUCUAAUACCUGAUAUGACUCAGCUACGCAUGUGGUUGGGUGGAAAGUUUUUCCGGAGGUG